rnacentral:rRNA from 2 species
UGCAGUCGAGCGAUGGAUUGAGAGCUUGCUCUCAAGAAGUUAGCGGCGGACGGGUGAGUAACACGUGGGUAACCUGCCCAUAAGACUGGGAUAACUCCGGGAAACCGGGGCUAAUACCGGAUAACAUUUUGAACCGCAUGGUUCGAAAUUGAAAGGCGGCUUCGGCUGUCACUUAUGGAUGGACCCGCGUCGCAUUAGCUAGUUGGUGAGGUAACGGCUCACCAAGGCAACGAUGCGUAGCCGACCUGAGAGGGUGAUCGGCCACACUGGGACUGAGACACGGCCCAGACUCCUACGGGAGGCAGCAGUAGGGAAUCUUCCGCAAUGGACGAAAGUCUGACGGAGCAACGCCGCGUGAGUGAUGAAGGCUUUCGGGUCGUAAAACUCUGUUGUUAGGGAAGAACAAGUGCUAGUUGAAUAAGCUGGCACCUUGACGGUACCUAACCAGAAAGCCACGGCUAACUACGUGCCAGCAGCCGCGGUAAUACGUAGGUGGCAAGCGUUAUCCGGAAUUAUUGGGCGUAAAGCGCGCGCAGGUGGUUUCUUAAGUCUGAUGUGAAAGCCCACGGCUCAACCGUGGAGGGUCAUUGGAAACUGGGAGACUUGAGUGCAGAAGAGGAAAGUGGAAUUCCAUGUGUAGCGGUGAAAUGCGUAGAGAUAUGGAGGAACACCAGUGGCGAAGGCGACUUUCUGGUCUGUAACUGACACUGAGGCGCGAAAGCGUG